UACGGAGGGGGCUAGCGUUGUUCGGAAUUACUGGGCGUAAAGCGCGCGUAGGCGGACCUGCAAGUCGGGGGUGAAAGCCCGAGGCUCAACCUCGGAACUGCCUUCGAUACUGCGGGUCUCGAGUCCGGGAGAGGUGAGUGGAAUUCCUAGUGUAGAGGUGAAAUUCGUAGAUAUUAGGAAGAACACCAGUGGCGAAGGCGGCUCACUGGCCCGGUACUGACGCUGAGGCGCGAAAGCGUGGGGAGCAAAUAGG
rnacentral:rRNA from 1 species